UCGAUUUUUGAGAAAGCAAUCAUGUUGGGGGUCUGACUCUCGAGAUUCGGAGAGCAGUGUCUCUUCGAUUUUUGAGGAAGUAAUCAUGUUGGGAGUCUGGCUCUCGAGAUUCGAAGGGCGGUGCCUCUUCGAUUUUGGAGCAAGCAAUCUUGUUGGGAGUGUUGUCUCGAAUGUGAGUAAAGGUUGGGCAUGUUUGCUAGUCUACCUUGCCACGAAGCACAAAGGUUGACACACAAGGGACUUUCCAAUUAUCCAGCAAUGGUACUGUUCCUUUACCCUCUCUUCGAUUUUGAGAAAGUAGUCAUGUUGGGAGUCUGGCUCUCGAGAUUCGGAGGACGGUGCCUCUUCGAUUUUGGAGCAAGCAAUCUUGUUGGGAGUGUUUUCUCGAAUGUGAGUAAAGGUUGGGCAUGUUUGCUAGUCUACCUUGCCACGAAGCACAGAGGUUGACACACAGGGACUUUCCAAUUAUCCAGCAGUGGUACUGUUCCUUUACCCUUGUGGGUAAUAAUAUGGUAGCUAGACCUUCAAAAUUUAUGUGUCUAAACUUUGUUAGUGCUGUUUCUUUGCUAUUCUUUUACCUUUCUUGGUCAGAGCGAUGUAGUGGGAGCUGCAAGCUUCACGUGCUCAACUUUGGCAGAGAACUUUGGCAAAGUUAUAUGUGGUACCCAUGAGCUAUUGUUGCGUGUGGGAAGUGGGUGAUUGAACAGUAAGAUUCAUGUGCUUUCUACUUCACCAGAAGUCUUCGACAGAAUGCCCAUAAUUUCUGCAAAGCUGAGUGUGCGUGUGACAGGUGCUGACAAGGCUAGAAAAGUAGGUGCCUCUUCGAUUUCUGAGAUCGGCCCUCGUGGUCUCUGAGCAGCCCAGCUUUUGAGAAAGCGAGCGCCUUUUUCGAUUGAUUCGGAGAACGAUGCGUCAUCGAUUUUUGAGAAAGCAAUCAUGUUGGGGGUCUGGCUCUCGAAGAUUCGGGGAGCAGUGUCUCUUCGAUUUUUGAGAAAGUAAUCAUGUUGGGAGUCUGGCUCUCGAGAUUCGGAGGGCGGUGCCUCUUCGAUUUUGGAGCAAGCAAUCUUGUUGGGAGUGUUUUCUCGAAUGUGAGUAAAGGUUGGGCAUGUUUGCUAGUCUACCUUGCCACGAAGCUUCUUUCUUCGAUUUUUAAGAAAGUAGUCAUGUUGGGAGUCUGGCUCUCGAGAUUCGGAGGACGGUGCCUCUUCGAUUUUGGAGCAAGCAAUCUUAUUGGGAGUGUUUUCUCGAAUGUGAGUAAAGGUUGGGCAUGUUUGCUAGUCUACCUUGCCACGAAGCACAGAGGUUGACACACAGGGACUUUCCAAU
rnacentral:lncRNA from 1 species